GAAAGACAGACACUUCCUCACAAUGUAAAAAUUCAACCCUAAUCCUAAAAUGUACAUAUAAGUUCAUAGACAUUGGACACGAUAUCAGUUUAUUUAUAAAAUGAGAAAAUUAAUAUGAAUUAUAUUUAUGGUUCUUAAGGAUUAUAACAUUGUAUUUGCCUUGUCAAAAAAAAAAAAACAUUAUAUUUGCUUUCAGAAUAACUUAUUUGGGGUUUACAGUGUAAUUGCUACAUAGAGGAGUGCUAGCAACACACUUUUUAACAAAUACACUCUAACACACUCUCUUCUAUUGGUUAAAAUUUAUAUGGGUCCCAUAAAAGUUAUAUGGGUCCAUAUUUUUUUAUGGGACCCAUGUGAAUUUCAACCAAUAAAAGAGAGUGUGUUGGAGUGUGUUUGUUAAAGAGUGUGUUGCUAGCAUUAUUCUUGCUACAUAUAUACAAAUUAUAUUGCAUGACAUCCAUCAUCCAACUUUAGGGAAAGAACCUUGGAAUUUAAUGACAUAGUGGGAGAAUGUCACUCAUAAGUAUGAGUUGUCUCCAAUUUUCGGGGAAGACCCUUGGAAUUAAUCAAGGAUUGUGGAUGUGAUAUAAGUGGAUCUAUCAUCAAAGAGCAAUAGAUCAUAGGCAAUCCUAUAGCUCACGCGUCAUACCCAUCAUGAAGCAGAUCAUCACAAUCUCACUCGUUAGUUGUUGUUUGUCUCGUUUCGAACAACCACAAUGAUUUCAGUUGGCAUGAUCAAGUUGAUUGCGGUUCUGAUGGAGAAGCUAUCUUCCUAUACUUCUAGAAUAUCAAAUGUCACUGAGGAUUUCUAGAAAUUGCUUAUUAGCAUGGAGGAAAUCAGUUAAGUGGUCGUUA
rnacentral:lncRNA from 1 species